ACGUUCCUACGGGAGGCAGCAGUGGGGAAUAUUGCACAAUGGGCGAAAGCCUGAUGCAGCGACGCCGCGUGAGGGAUGACGGCCUUCGGGUUGUAAACCUCUUUCAGCAGGGAAGAAGCGAGAGUGACGGUACCUGCAGAAGAAGCGCCGGCUAACUACGUGCCAGCAGCCGCGGUAAUACGUAGGGCGCAAGCGUUGUCCGGAAUUAUUGGGCGUAAAGAGCUCGUAGGCGGCUUGUCGCGUCGGUUGUGAAAGCCCGGGGCUUAACCCCGGGUCUGCAGUCGAUACGGGCAGGCUAGAGUUCGGUAGGGGAGAUCGGAAUUCCUGGUGUAGCGGUGAAAUGCGCAGAUAUCAGGAGGAACACCGGUGGCGAAGGCGGAUCUCUGGGCCGAUACUGACGCUGAGGAGCGAAAGCGUGGGGAGCGAACAGGAUUAGAUACCCUGGUAGUCCACGCCGUAAACGGUGGGCACUAGGUGUGGGCAACAUUCCACGUCGUCCGUGCCGCAGCUGACGCAUUAAA
rnacentral:rRNA from 1 species